CAAUUAAAUAAUGUAUUAAAAAAAACUAUUUGUAUUCAUAAAAAAAAGUACGAUAAUUUGUAUUUAAAUAAAAUCAAAUUUGGAUCGGGUUCACAAGGGUCCCGGUCCGGAAGCGAGGAGAUGGAGAAGGAUGGAUAUGUCGAUAGAACCUUCAGAGCUGAGCGCAUCAUCACAAGGCCCGAAAAAGGGAGAAGAAAUUGGAGGGAAUUGCAAAGAGAGGUGUGAAGAGAAAAAGAAGACAAUAAAUACGAGCAGCGAAGCAAAAAUUGUAGUGUUUCAGAUUGAAAACUAUAUUACUUGAUUAAAAGGACAUCAUGAUCCCCUCAGGUUUUCGUAUCCACAUGUUAUUCGCCGCUUCCAGUAUUCAUACGGCCUUCUUUCUCUUUCCUCUCUCCGUAAAACCCUCAAUCCCCCAUUCACGGUUCCUGCAGAUUGAAGGUUUAUCUGAUUAUAAACAACAAAUUUUUUUGGAUCUUCAAUUUGCCCCUGCUAGUUUUCUAGUAUUGCAAUUUGACCCCAUCCCUUUUGCUAUUUUACUACUAUCCAAGAAAUAAAUUGGGGUUGGUAAAAAAGCCCUCGCCAGUUCGGCCCAAGUCCACAUGGAUUGAACUUGUAUAUAUGUGGAUUGAAAAACAUAAAGAUUGUAUAGAUUAAAAUUUGAAUUUAUAAAUAAAAAAACAUAAAUUAAAUUAAAAAAG
rnacentral:lncRNA from 1 species